rnacentral:rRNA from 1 species
GAUGAACGCUAGCGGCAGGCCUAACACAUGCAAGUCGAGGGAGAGGUUACCUUCGGGUCACCAAAACCGGCGCACGGGUGCGUAACGCGUAUACAAUCUGCCUUUCACAUAGGUAUAGCCCGAAGAAAUUUGGAUUAAUACCUAACGGUAUAUAAGAGCGGCAUCGUUUUUAUAUUAAAGCUACGGUGGUGAAAGAUGAGUAUGCGUUCUAUUAGCUAGUUGGAGAGGUAACGGCUCCCCAAGGCGACGAUAGAUAGGGGUUCUGAGAGGGAUGUCCCCCACACUGGUACUGAGAUACGGACCAGACUGCUACGGGAGGCAGCAGUGAGGAAUAUUGGACAAUGGUCGGAAGACUGAUCCAGCCAUGCCGCGUGCAGGAUGAAGGUCCUAUGGAUUGUAAACUGCUUUUGUAAGGGAAGAAUAAGGAGUACGUGUACUUUGAUGACGGUACCUUACGAAUAAGCAUCGGCUAACUCCGUG